rnacentral:sRNA from 1 species
UCAUUUUUUAUGGUGCAGAAUGGUGUCUCCUGCCCUGCAGCUGCACACAGAGAGAGGACAGUUCCUUCACAGUUAGCUGAGAUUUUUUCUUUGUUUUUACCAAAAGUUGUUAAUUAGGUGGACAUGAAUCCUUAAAGCUAAGGAUUGGAAGCUAAGGCAGCUAAGUUCUAGAACAUUAAUUGUUUGCAUCAUGGGGGAUAAAACCAUGAAAAACAAAAUCAGGAAAGUUUAAAACAUACUGCAAAGCUAAGGGAAGAUGUAGAAGGCAAUAGUGGAAUAUGGAGCAUGCAGUGUUCUAGAAUCAGGAUGGAAUUCCCUGUUCCAUCUUGGCACCACUCUUGCCUGCCUUUGUUUAAUCACCGAUUCUUACAUCUUUUGCUCACAAGCCACAAAUGGAAUCACCCAGUCAGUGUGUCAUGUAAAUCAAGAAACAAUACAUGUUAAUUAGUUCUUAAUAUGCAAAAACCCAGACUUGCUUAGAUAACCAUAGUUCCUGAGCCAGAUGGAGAACAAAGCUCCAAAACUCUGCGGUAAUGUUGGGUAUCUGGGCAACAUGUCCAGUCCCAGAGCCAGCUAGGAUCCAGACUGUCCUGGUUGCAGUUAUCCCACCAAAAUCCACAUAUUUGUGUUUCCAUUAUUGAGUAAUGAAAGAGAAGAGGCACAGCAUUAUCAACUGGGAAUAGGGUAAUGUCUCUUCAUGAGCAGAGUGCUUUAUACUUUACAAGGCACUUUUCUAGGUAUCACAUUUCACUUUUGUGAGGAUUCGUUAGGAAGAAAAGCACUAAGUUAGUGAAUGAAACUAAGUAGACACUUUACCUUGUCCCAUUUAGUUCUCAUGACAUCCCAAAUGAAGAGGGAUCAUUUCUCUCAUUUUACAGUCGAGGUAGAUAAGGCAGGCAUGCCUCUCCUGAUUUUAUAUUAAAAGAGACUGGGGCUUAGUAAUAUAAAGGAACAUGCUUAAACUUCAACAACUAUAAAUAGGGGAUGUAGGGUUUGAACCUAAAACUGUCUGUGUCCAGGGCCUAUGUUCAUUGCUCUGUAGUAUCCUGUGUCCAUACCAGCCUGUUUCUACAUUAAACACCUAUACUCAGCCUGAAGCCCCUACAAACUACCUCUGGGGCUGGCUAGGAGUAAGGGGAGGUUAGGAAGAGGAAAACCUGUCAGCUCUGACUCUAACCAAUUCUUUCUCCUCUUCUCUGUAGUCAGCAGUCGGCUUUGAUUAUAAAGGAGAAGUGGAGAAGCACACAUCUCAGAAAGAUUACUCUCGUGGCUUUGGUGGCCGGUACGGGGUGGAGAAGGAUAAAUGGGACAAAGCAGCUCUGGGAUAUGACUACAAGGGAGAGACGGAGAAACACGAGUCCCAGAGAGAUUAUGCCAAGGGCUUUGGUGGCCAGUAUGGAAUCCAGAAGGACCGAGUGGAUAAGAGCGCUGUCGGCUUCAAUGAAAUGGAGGCCCCGACCACAGCUUAUAAGAAGACGACGCCCAUAGAAGCCGCUUCUAGUGGUGCCCGUGGGCUGAAGGCGAAAUUUGAGUCCAUGGCUGAGGAGAAGAGGAAGCGAGAGGAAGAGGAGAAGGCACAGCAGGUGGCCAGGAGGCAACAGGAGCGAAAGGCUGUGACAAAGAUGAGCCCUGAGGCUCCACAGCCAGUGAUAGCUAUGGAAGAGCCAGCAGUACCGGCCCCACUGCCCAAGAAAAUCUCCUCAGAGGCCUGGCCUCCAGUUGGGACUCCUCCAUCAUCAGAGUCUGAGCCUGUGAGAACCAGCAGGGAACACCCAGUGCCCUUGCUGCCCAUUAGGCAGACUCUCCCGGAGGACAAUGAGGAGCCCCCAGCUCUGCCCCCUAGGACUCUGGAAGGCCUCCAGGUGGAGGAAGAGCCAGUGUACGAAGCAGAGCCUGAGCCUGAGCCCGAGCCUGAGCCCGAGCCUGAGAAUGACUAUGAGGACGUUGAGGAGAUGGACAGGCAUGAGCAGGAGGAUGAACCAGAGGGGGACUAUGAGGAGGUGCUCGAGCCUGAAGAUUCUUCUUUUUCUUCUGCUCUGGCUGGAUCAUCAGGCUGCCCGGCUGGGGCUGGGGCUGGGGCUCUGGGGAUCUCAGCUGUGGCUCUAUAUGAUUACCAAGGAGAGGGAAGUGAUGAGCUUUCCUUUGAUCCGGACGACGUAAUCACUGACAUUGAGAUGGUGGACGAGGGCUGGUGGCGGGGACGUUGCCAUGGCCACUUUGGACUCUUCCCUGCAAAUUAUGUCAAGCUUCUGGAGUGACUAGAGCUCACUGUCUACUGCAACUGUGAUUUCCCAUGUCCAAAGUGGCUCUGCCUCCACCCCCUCCCUAUUCCUGCUGCAAAUGUCUAACCAGAUGAGGUUCUGGACAGACUUCCCUCUCCUGCUUCAUUAAGGGCUUGGGGCAGAGACAGCAUGGGGAAGGAGGUCCCCUUCCCCAAGAGUCCUCUCUAUCCUGGAUGAGCUCAUGAACAUUUCUCUUGUGUUCCUGACUCCUUCCCAAUGAACACCUCUCUGCCACCCCAAGCUCUGCUCUCCUCCUCUGUGAGCUCUGGGCUUCCCGGUUUGUUUACCCGGGAAAGUACGUCUAGAUUGUGUGGUUUGCCUCAUUGUGCUAUUUGCCCACUUUCCUUCCCUGAAGAAAUAUCUGUGAACCUUCUUUCUGUUCAGUCCUAAAAUUCGAAAUAAAGUAAGACUAUGGUUCACCUGU